AUUGAACGCUGGCGGCAGGCUUAACACAUGCAAGUCGAGCGGGGGAAGGUAGCUUGCUACCGGACCUAGCGGCGGACGGGUGAGUAAUGCUUAGGAAUCUGCCUAUUAGUGGGGGACAACAUCUCGCAAGGGAUGCUAAUACCGCAUACGUCCUACGGGAGAAAGCAGGGGAUCUUCGGACCUUGCGCUAAUAGAUGAGCCUAAGUCGGAUUAGCUAGUUGGUGGGGUAAAGGCCUACCAAGGCGACGAUCUGUAGCGGGUCUGAGAGGGUGAUCCGCCACACUGGGACUGAGACACGGUCCAGACUCCUACGGGAGGCAGCAGUGGGGAAUAUUGGACAAUGGGGGGAACCCUGAUCCAGCCAUGCCGCGUGUGUGAAGAAGGCCUUAUGGUUGUAAAGCACUUUAAGCGAGGAGGAGGCUACUUUAGUUAAUACCUAGAGAUAGUGGACGUUACUCGCAGAAUAAGCACCGGCUAACUCUGUGCCAGCCGCCGCCGUAA
rnacentral:rRNA from 1 species